rnacentral:rRNA from 1 species
UAGGGAAUCUUCGGCAAUGGACGGAAGUCUGACCGAGCAACGCCGCGUGAGUGAAGAAGGUUUUCGGAUCGUAAAGCUCUGUUGUAAGAGAAGAACGAGUGUGAGAGUGGAAAGUUCACACUGUGACGGUAUCUUACCAGAAAGGGGACGGCUAACUACGUGCCAGCAGCCGCGGUAAUACGUAGGUCCCGAGCGUUGUCCGGAUUUAUUGGGCGUAAAGCGAGCGCAGGCGGUUAGAUAAGUCUGAAGUUAUUAAAGGCUGUGGCUUAACCAUAGUACGCUUUGGAAACUGUUUAACUUGAGUGCAAGAGGGGAGAGUGGAAUUCCAUGUGUAGCGGUGAAAUGCGUAGAUAUAUGGAGGAACACCGGUGGCGAAAGCGGCUCUCUGGCUUGUAACUGACGCUGAGGCUCGAAAGCGUGGGGAGCAAACAGGAUUAGAUACCCUGGUAGUCCACGCCGUAAACGAUGAGUGCUAGGUGUUAGACUCUUUCCGGGGUUUAGUGCCGUAGCUAACGCAUUAAGCACUCCGCCUGGGGAGUACGACCGCAAGGUUG